rnacentral:rRNA from 1 species
AGUGAACGCUGGCGGUAGGCCUAACACAUGCGAGUCGAACGGCAGCACAGUAAGAGCUUGCUCUUACGGGUGGCGAGUGGCGGACGGGUGAGGAAUACAUCGGAAUCUACUUUUUCGGGGGGGAUAACGUAGGGAAACUUACGCUAAUACCGCAUACGACCUACGGGUGAAAGCAGGGGAUCUUCGGACCUUGCGCGAUUGAAUGAGCCGAUGUCGGAUUAGCUAGUUGGCGGGGUAAAGGCCCACCAAGGCGACGAUCCGUAGCUGGUCUGAGAGGAUGAUCGGCCACACUGGAACUGAGACACGGUCCAGACUCCUACGGGAGGCAGCAGUGGGGAAUAUUGGACAAUGGGCGCAAGCCUGAUCCAGCCAUCCCGCGUGGGUGAAGAAGGCCUUCGGGUUGUAAAGCCCUUUUGUUGGGAAAGAAAAGCAGCAGGUUAAUACCCCGCUGUUCUGACGGUACCCAAAGAAUAAGCACCGGCUAACUUCGUG